AAGUGUGUAUUUCCCAUAUUGAGCAACUUCCCCAAACGUAACACCAGCAGCCCCGUCAUACUUUAGUCUCCACCUUCAACGCGGAAAUACAAGCGGUGACCGGAAGUCGCGGAAACGUGUACCGUCCCAACGGGGAGGCACGGUGGCAGCAACAUCCUGCUGUGGGGAGGAGAACCUAAUCAAACAUCCCGGUAGAGAUCUGGAGUUGGUCGGUCCACCGACGGCUCCCAUCCAAACCUGACAGAGCUUGAGGGGAUCUGCAUAAAAUCCCUAAAUCCAGGUGUGUAAUGCUUGAUGCGUCACACCCAAGAAAAGCUGAGGCUGCUAUCGUUGCCACGGGUCUUAGUUUUUAGUUCAGCAAAAGACAUCUAAAAUCCUGCUUUUCACUCCGUCACAAUGCAGAUUUACGAGGGGGAAAAAUAAGUGAAACAACUCUUGGAAAGAAGAGUGGACAUGCAGCUGUGCUGUUUCGGCAAGAAAACCGAUGUAAUAAAUUAUCAGACUUAAUCUAACUGAUGUAACACUUUAGAACAGUUGUGGCACUAAAGAUGAAACUUUGGAACCGCUUUGAUUCUGCUUAUUAUGUUAGCAGUACUUUCCUGAGUUGUAUGAUUGGCUGAUUUAUAUAAAAAAAUUUAAAAAACGGGUAAGACGUGUACAACUCUGUACUUUUAUUACCUGAGCGGGUCACUUGGUUCAGCUAAAACCACGGGCCAUGCUGGCAAAGUACACCAAACACUUGACAAGCGGAAAACCCUCCCUGACUCAUUCUCCUCUUUCAAAUGUUAAAGCUGCAUGAAAUAAAAUAACUCCUCAAACCCAACCCAUAUGAAAGAUCCGCCAACAAAUGAAAGCAUUUUCUCUAAAGUGCAUAGAGUGCAUUUACUCUUUAUGUGUAGCAGCGAUUCUUGAUCUGUUUAUGGCGUACUAGUUGCUAUUUACACAGUGUUUGUUGAAUUGCGAUCAGUUCCAUGUGUGUGUGUGUGUGUGUGUGUGUGAUGUAUAUUAUAUUAAAAAAAUGAUCCAUGUGAAAGCAUUUUAUUUGAGUGAAAUCACAGCUAAAAUCCCAAACCUAAAUAAACCAAGCAGACGCAUUGAAAUACAACGAAGACACUCUGUGAUGCUGCACAUGGAGUGAAAAGCAAUUUCAAAAAGCAAUUUCAAAAGCCGUAUUUUUCAUAAUACGGAUUUGUGCGCUAGUUUUUUAGAAAAGCAGUAUGAAGUUAGUGGAAAACGCUGAUCAAAAGCAUAUGGCUUAUGGAACAAAAGCCCCCACAACACACGCAAAAACAAUCCUUUUAAUGACACGUUUGCUUUUGAAGAAAGUCGGACAAGCGAUCUUUCGAUAUGGUUUUUCACAAACGAGCAUGAUUUCAGUUCAUCCUCGAGCAAACACAGUGGUGAUCUAAGCAGAGAGUCCACUGUCACAUGGCACACAGGCCUGCUUAUUAUGUUUCAGGUGGAUGACCCUAAGCAUGAUGCUCUGCCUCAUAAAAGCUCUCAUGUAAUUCUUUAGUGAGUCAUAAACUCAGAGAGGCCGCAAGUCCCUAAUGGACUUUUUUUUUCUUUUUUUAUAUCGUCUGACAAUGCAGGCACAUGGCCUGAAUUACAUAAAAAGGAGACUUCUCCACAUGUGUAAACAAACUGCAAUUAAUUUAUUUUGGCUGGAACAGCGUAAUGAGCCAUUACUGCAGUUGUGGCAGCCAAGAGUGUGUCUCCUCUUUAUUCCUGUUGUUUACUACAUAAUCAUAAAAUCAUGCCUCACAAGAACGCUUGUGGGUGCAUUGUGUGUGUGUGUGUGUGUGUGUGUGUCUGCUACAUUGGGGUGUAAACACAAGCCAGACGGGGUGAGCAGUUGGGUGUGAUGUUUGUAAUGUAAAGAUGUUGCCUGGUCUCCCAGUGACCUUCAAAGGGGCCUCACGUUUGACGAGGACCUGCGACCACAAGCCACUGAGCUCUCAGAUUAAGUGUGUGUGUGUGUGUGUGUGUGUGCGUGUGUGUGCGUGUGUGCGUGUCAUUGCAUCUGCUGGUGUGGGAUCGCCCUCACACCUGUGCACAGGAGAUUCUUUGAAGUGCCUAAUCGUCUCCUGCAUGCCUCCUCUAACCUUGUUGGCAGGAUCCCAACGCCGCACACACAGUUCACACGCAGAGAUGGGGAGCACGGAGAAACUGGGCUCUCCUGUGGUGAGCCGGGAGAUGGAGUGAGCUGAUGGGGAGGGAGGGAGGGAGGAGAGAGACGAAGUAGCAAAAACAGAAAAGUGCAAAAAGAGAGAGAGCGAGAGAGAGAGAGAGAGAGAGAACACACAAUACCUAUGAGAGUGGAGAAAAAAGGGCGAGAGGAUCUGAGGAAAGGUGGGAGGAAGGUUGCGAGGGAAAGCGGAGAGGGAGGUCCCCCCACGGUUUGGGAACAAGAGCGCAGGCCGGAGAAGUGCCAGAGUGGCUUAAAUCACCAGGGAGAAACUCUGCAGGUGGAGGAAGUGAUCAGAGGAAGUCAUAUGAUGUCCAGGAACCCUCCAGCGUAAACGAGGACAGAUGAGCUGAGAGCUGCUACGAGACACAACAGGCCAGCUUCAUGCCUCUCAUCUACUAUCAUUACACGUCUGUUGUUCUGGCAAUCUUUCAAAAGACCUUUUUUUGUUUUUAAAGGUAUAACCCAAAUCCUCAAAAAGACUCUGCUGGCCCAAAAUAUUCCGUUUUGCACACAAUGAAGAAGUUGAAAGUAAGAAGGUAAUCCAAAGGUUGUUGCUCAUCCAGGAAAAUAUCUGUAGCAGCUGUUUGCUCCUCCAGUCUUUUCCCUGGGCCUGUGACACACACACACACACACACACACACACACACACACACACACCAACAGCUCAUCGGGAGUCGACAUCUAAGGGAGGAUCUGGCGGCAUCUUGAGUGGCAGCUCGCCGUUGCGUCGCACUUGAGUGGUCACCGACACUGCCUGAUUGCAGGAGGUUGCCCUCUCAUAUUCCCUCAAAAAAAAAUCUCUGGCCACAAUCCCAAAAUGAUCUGUCCAGCCGAGCGCACCAGCAUGAGGAAGAGAACAAAAAAAAGAAAAGAAAGAGGAAUGCCUCCCCUGGCAUCUCCACUGCUCGAAGGCUUCUUGUUAGUCGGCUGUAUUCUGGAACGUCUGGCAAGAGGCCACGAGUCGUGCAAUGCAACUAAGCCAUGCACGCAAGCACCUGAAUCUAACACGGCAAGACAUAUGGACACACACCUCGAGAUGCAUUGAUUGUAUUU